rnacentral:rRNA from 1 species
AAAGAAGGUGAUAGCCCUGNAAGUUGCCUCCCUUUAAAGGAGCGGGCACAAUGAAUUGUAAUUGUGAAAAGAUUGGAAGAUCUGGCCAAAGAAGGUGAUAGCCCUGUAGAUUCGUUUCCAUGGUUUGAUCCUUCCCAGUAAAAUGCGGCGUGUUCAAAUUCUGAUUGCUUUUAUGCGAGAAAGAGGGACCACCCUCUAAGCCUAAGUAUUCCUCAAUGACCGAUAGCGUACAAGUACUAUGAGGGAAAGGUAAAGAGAACCCUAUUUAGGGAGUGCAAUAGAGAACCUGAGAUCCGAUGCAAAAAAUUAGUCGAAGGAGCAGAGCUUAGAGCCUUUACUUUAUGUAAGGCGCACUCACUCUAACGGCGUACCUUUUGCAUGAUAGGUCAGCGAGGAAAUGGGAACAACGGCUUAAGCCAUUAGGUGUAGGUGCUUUCCAGAGGUUGAACCUUCUAGUUCUUCCUAUUUGACCCGAAACCGAUCGAUCUAGCCAUAAGCAGGUUGAAGAGAGCUCUAACAGGCAUUGGAGGACCGAACCCACGUAUGUGGCAAAAUAUGGGGAUGACUUGUGGCUAGGGGUGAAAGGCCAACCAAGAUCGGAUAUAGCUGGUUUUUCGCGAAAUCUAUUUCAGUAGAGCGUAUGAUGUCGAUGGCCCGAGGUAGAGCACUCAAUGGGCUAGGGUGGCCUCAUUUCGCCUUACCAACCCCAGGGAAACUCCGAAUACAGGCCUAGAUCGUUUGUACAGACAGACUUUUUGGGUGCUAAGAUCCAAAGUCGAGAGGGAAACAGCCCAGAUCGUACGCUAAGGUCCCUAAGCAAUCACUUANCAGUAGAGCGUAUGAUGUCGAUGGCCCGAGGUAGAGCACUCAAUGGGCUAGGGUGGCCUCAUUUCACCUUACCAACCCCAGGGAAACUCUGAAUACAUGCCUAGAUUAUUUGUACAGACAGACUUUUUGGGUGCUAAGAUCCAAAGUCUAGAGGGAAACAACCCAGAUCGUACGCUAAGGUCCCUAAGAAAUCACUUAGUGGAAAAGGAAGUGAUCGAGUGAUGACAACCAGGAGGUGGGCUUGGAAGCAGCCAUCCUUUGAAGAAAGCGUAAUAGCUCACUGGUCUAGCUCCAUGGCACCAAACAUGUAUCAGGGCUCAAGUGAUUCACCGAACGACGAGACCUUGAAAACUAUUUUUUCAAGUGCCAGAAGCGAAACGUUCUGUCAAUCAGGGAAGGUUUUUGGUGACAAGACCUGGAGAUAUCAGAAGUGAGAAUGCAGACAUGAGUAACGUAAAACCCUGUGAAAAACACGAUCGCCUGCAAGUGGAAGGUUUUCUGCAUUCAGUUAAUCUACACAGAGUGAAUCGGUCCCUAAGGAACCCUCGAAAGGGCUGCCGUCCAUGCCUACAGAAGUGACGAAGUUGCUUUGACUACAAAACCAUGCCUGUCUGUUGGAGCGAAUUGGAUGAUCGGGCCGAGGGCUACCCCCUCUUCCCCUCACUCUCCUUUCCCUAAUAUGAACCUUGAGUCAUCAAAGCCUUUCUGACUCGGCCUGGCCCGGUCGCCCUACACAAAUGGCGCUUCAAAAGGUGAAACUCUUGGUCGUAGUUUGGUGACCUAUCUUCAAUAGGGGUCCUUAUUCUUUUGAUUAGAGUAGGGGUCGCGAGAGAGUAGAGCGUACCUCCCUGCCAUAGUCACGAGUCUAUUUAUAGUCGCGACUGUUGUCAUACUCAACAAGGUUGAAACUUCCAGGAAAAAAUUUCGAAUUGGGAGGGCGAUCCUCCCGGUGAACUGACCGUACCCCAAACCGACACAGGUGAACAAGUAGAGUAUACUAGGGCGCUUGAGAGAACCAUGUCAAAGGAAGUCGGCAAAAUGACCCCGUAACUUCGGGAGAAAGGGUGCUCUCCUAUCUUUUGAUUAGGAAAGUGGCACAUACCAGGGGGUAGUGACUGUUUAUUAAAAACACAGGACUCUGCUAAGUGGUAACAUGAUGUAUAGAGUCUGACACCUGGCCGGUGUUGGAAGGUCGGAACGAGAAGUGUUAUAAGCUUUGAAUGGAAGCCCCGGUAAAUGACGGCAGUAACUCUAACUGUCCUAAGGUAGCGAAAUUCCUUAUCGCAUAAGUAGCGACCUGCAUGAAAGGUGUUACGCCUGCCCCGCUGUCUUCGACAUGGACCCGGUGAUAUUGAAUUCUCCAUGAAGAUGCAGAGUACCAAUGGCUAGAUGGUAAGACCCCGUGCACCUUAACUAUAGCUUCGCAGUGACAACCUUAAUCGAAUGUGUAGGAUAGGUGGGAGGUGGUGACACACAGCGACCAAUCCUGAAAGACCACUCUUUUGUCUAAGGAUGCCUAACCGCCGCACCGAUCAUUCGGGGGGAGGCGGGACACUGCGAGGUGGGUAGUUUAUCUGGGGCAUAUGCCUCCUAAAGAGUAACGGAGGUGUGCGAAGGUAGGCUCAAGCUAAGAUUCUGCUCGUGAGCGUAAUGGUAUAAACCUGCCUGACUGUGAGACCGACUGGUCGAACAAAGAUGAAAGUCGACCAUAGUAAUCCGGGAGUCCCGUGUGGAAGGGCUCUCGCUCAAUGGAUCAAAGGUACGACGGGGAUAACAGGCUGAUGACUCCCAAGAGAUCGUAUCGACGGAGUCGUUUGGCACCUCGAUGUCGACUCAUCACAUCCUAGGGUUGAAGAAGGUCCCAAGGGUUCGGUUGUUUGCCGAUUCAAGUGGUACGUGAGUUGGGUUUAGAACGUCGUGAGAUAGUUCGGUUCCUAUCUACCAUUGGUGUUAAAGGGAGAACUGCGAGGAGCCAACCCUAGUAUGAGAGGACUGGGUUGGGCUAACCUAUGGUGUACCGGUUGUUAUGCCAAUAGCAGCGCCGGGCAACUAAGUUGGUAUGGAAGAACUGCUGCACUGUGGGAAAUCCUUCUCUAUACAAGUUCUCGGACGAGGUUUUUGAACAGAACUUCGAUAGGUGAGAGGUGUAAGCACGCGAGGUGUGAAGCGAUCUUGUACUAAACGAAACUACUUUCACUUUC